rnacentral:rRNA from 1 species
AGAGUUUGAUCCUGGCUCAGGACGAACGCUGGCGGCGUGCUUAACACAUGCAAGUCGAACGAUGAUGCCCAGCUUGCUGGGCGGAUUAGUGGCGAACGGGUGAGUAAUACGUGAGUAACCUGCCCUUGACUCUGGGAUAAGCCUGGGAAACUGGGUCUAAUACUGGAUACUACCUCUUGCCGCAUGGUGGGUGGUGGAAAGGGUUUUACUGGUUUUGGAUGGGCUCACGGCCUAUCAGCUUGUUGGUGGGGUAAUGGCUCACCAAGGCGACGACGGGUAGCCGGCCUGAGAGGGUGACCGGCCACACUGGGACUGAGACACGGCCCAGACUCCUACGGGAGGCAGCAGUGGGGAAUAUUGCACAAUGGGCGGAAGCCUGAUGCAGCGACGCCGCGUGAGGGAUGACGGCCCUCGGGUUGUAAACCUCUUUCAGUAGGGAAGAAGCGAGAGUGACGGUACCUGCAGAAGAAGCGCCGGCUAACUACGUGCCAGCAGCCGCGGUAAUACGUAGGGCGCAAGCGUUGUCCGGAAUUAUUGGGCGUAAAGAGCUCGUAGGCGGUUUGUCGCGUCUGCUGUGAAAGCCCGGGGCUCAACCCCGGGUCUGCAGUGGGUACGGGCAGACUAGAGUGCAGUAGGGGAGACUGGAAUUCCUGGUGUAGCGGUGAAAUGCGCAGAUAUCAGGAGGAACACCGAUGGCGAAGGCAGGUCUCUGGGCUGUUACUGACGCUGAGGAGCGAAAGCAUGGGGAGCGAACAGGAUUAGAUACCCUGGUAGUCCAUGCCGUAAACGUUGGGCACUAGGUGUGGGGGACAUUCCACGUUUUCCGCGCCGUAGCUAACGCAUUAAGUGCCCCGCCUGGGGAGUACGGCCGCAAGGCUAAAACUCAAAGGAAUUGACGGGGGCCCGCACAAGCGGCGGAGCAUGCGGAUUAAUUCGAUGCAACGCGAAGAACCUUACCAAGGCUUGACAUUCACCGGACCGCCCCAGAGAUGGGGUUUCCCUUCGGGGCUGGUGGACAGGUGGUGCAUGGUUGUCGUCAGCUCGUGUCGUGAGAUGUUGGGUUAAGUCCCGCAACGAGCGCAACCCUCGUUCUAUGUUGCCAGCACGUGAUGGUGGGGACUCAUAGGAGACUGCCGGGGUCAACUCGGAGGAAGGUGGGGAUGACGUCAAAUCAUCAUGCCCCCUAUGUCUUGGGCUUCACGCAUGCUACAAUGGCCGGUACAAAGGGUUGCGAUACUGUGAGGUGGAGCUAAUCCCAAAAAGCCGGUCUCAGUUCGGAUUGAGGUCUGCAACUCGACCUCAUGAAGUCGGAGUCGCUAGUAAUCGCAGAUCAGCAACGCUGCGGUGAAUACGUUCCCGGGCCUUGUACUCACCGCCCGUC